UAACAAUUGGAGGGCAAGUCUGGUGCCAGCAGCCGCGGUAAUUCCAGCUCCAAUAGCGUAUAUUAAACUUGUUGCAGUUAAAAAGCUCGUAGUUGAAUUUCUGCGUUAUCGAGUUAUUGACUCUUGUCUUUAAUCGAUUUCGCUUUUGGGAUUUAUCCCUUUUUACUUUGAGAAAAUUAGAGUGUUUCAAGCAGACUUUUGUCUUGAAUACUUCAGCAUGGAAUAAUAGAGUAGGACUUUGGUUCUAUUUUGUUGGUUUUUGAACCUUAGUAAUGGUUAAUAGGAACGGUUGGGGGCAUUCGUAUUUAACUGUCAGAGGUGAAAUUCUUAGAUUUGUUAAAGACGAACUACUGCGAAAGCAUUUGCCAAGGACGUUUCCAUUAAUCAAGAACGAAGAGUUAGGGGAUCGAAGACGAUCAGAUACC
rnacentral:rRNA from 1 species